rnacentral:tRNA from 2 species
AGUGAGGUGGCCGAGAGGCUGAAGGCACUCCCCUGCUAAGGGAGUAUAUGGUUUUAGCACUGUGUCGAGGGUUCGAAUCCCUCCCUCACUG